rnacentral:rRNA from 1 species
CGACCCCAGGUCAGGCGGGGCCACCCGCCGAGCUUAAGCAUAUCAAUAAGCGGAGGAGGAGAAACUUACGAGGAUUCCCCUAGUAACGGCGAGCGAACCGGGACCAGCCCAGCUUGGGAAUCGGGCGGCUGCGCCGUCCGAAUUGUAGUCUGGGGAAGCGUCCUCAGCGGCGGACCGGGCCCGAGUCCCCUGGAAAGGGGCGCCGGGGAGGGUGAGAGCCCCGUCCGGCCCGGACCCUGCCGCACCACGAGGCGCUGUCGGCGAGUCGGGCUGUUUGGGAAUGCAGCCCCAAUCGGGCGGUAAAUUCCGUCCAAGA